rnacentral:lncRNA from 1 species
GUCUCGUGGAGCGCUUUUUUUUUUUCAUUUUUUGGGAGCACUGGACGUCGGCAUAUGGCGACGUACAGGGCAAAUUCGGAAGGAUGCACGGCUGCGGACGACCUGGUGGAAUUAUAUACGUUGCACAUUUGAAAAUGUUUCAGCGCUCUCGAUGUUCGUGAAGAUUGACAAUAAAAGGAAACUGUAUAA